ACUCUGCUACUCAUACGCUGACUCAUGCCAAGUCCCAUUUAGCUAUCAUCCCGAGUUCGCUAAUAGGCUCCCAAUCCAUACUGCCGUGGUUUUAAAAUUUUCAAUCCUUGUGAUAACAUCCCUUCAUGGACUCAUCCCUCCCUAUCUCUGUAACCUCCUCCAGCACUACCUCCCUCCAAGAACUCUGCAUUCCUCUAAUUCUGUCAUCUUGUGCAUCCUUGAUUUUAAUCACCCUACUGUGUCUUCAGCUACCUAGUCCUAGUUUUUACCCUAUACUUCACCAUCUCUCAAUUUUCCUUUAAGCUGCUCCUGGCUGGUCUUCAUAGCUCCUUGCACAGCUUGGUGUCAAAUUUGGUCUGAUGACUCUCCUGUGGAGCACUAUGGGACAACCUUAAAGGGACUAUAUAAAUGCAAGCUGUUGUUGUUGCUCCUGCUGGCCAAAGGAAGAACAGUGCAUAAAACAAGGUUGACCCCAAACUGUUGUAAAGACCAGAGGAAGUGGCCGUGGCCUGGUAUUGAUAUAGAGGAGAUGAGCAGGAAUGAUCGUCUAAUCAAAAUAUCUUGUCUGCGCUUCUGUAACCUAUUUUUCGAGACCCAACAUCAGUGUUCAUCUGCAGCUCUUGGUUGUCAUGGUUUGGGCAUAUGUGCCGGAUGUCUACAAAGUCAUCUUCCACACAAAAUGUUUGAUUAACAGCCUGAGGGAAAGAGACAUCAUGGGAGACUCAAGAGGCUCGACAUGUGCUGGAUUGAUGUGGUGUCCAAAGCAUGUGACCAUCUGGGAAUAAUGGUAGACGAGGCCAAGCACCUGAUAGCUGGUCAGAUGAGUCAGGGAAAAACUGAUGUCAGCUUCAAAUAGUCUUAUCAUUUCUCGAGUCUAAUGACUUCAAGCUGUAGCAGAGCAUCCUCUUGCAUUUUUCAGGCUUUACUACUAACAACAUCUCUUGUUAACAAUGUGAUACAGGCUUAUAAGAUUUGAAAUGCACAUCUGUUGCAGCCUGAGCUCUGCAGGAUUCAAGGCUGGUGUCGAAAGUCGAGAACAGCACUGUAAAUGAUAAGGACUCAACAAUUAUUUUUCAAAAUGUUGUGAUUUGAAAGCUCAUAAAUCACCAUCUUAGUAUUUUUGCAAUCCUUCCAUCAGUGAGAAACAAUAUUUGCUAAGUAACACAGCAGUUUUCUGUUUGUCAUUUCAAACCUUUUGCAAACUGGCAAAUAAAUUCCUUAGAAAUGUUCAAGAGCUUUGAGCAAAGUGGAAAUGCAGUGACCAAUUUGUUUUUCCAUAUUAAAAAUCCAUUUGUCAAACAGCACUUACACUUUUAUUGAAGGAGGCAAUAAUGUUUCGCUUGGCAUGUCUUGAAAUGCCAAUAUUUGUGUUAAAGAACAUUAAAGUCUUGGACUUACUGGCCAUAUUUACUUAUUAGUAAUACACACAAACAAAAUGUGUAAUGUGAAGACAUGUGGUUCUAAUUUUUACCAUCCCAUCAUGUGGCAGGCUUAAUGUUCCCAUUUAUUUCCUGUGGGACAUUAAACAUUGGGUAUCAUUGGGCACAUUCUUAAAGUACCACAAUUCCCCAAAGCAACAGGAAUUACAUUUACAGUAUCUGUUUAUUAAACAGUGAAAUUAUGAUAAAUGCACAAGCAGUUUGCCAAAAAAUAUCUUGCUUGGAUGAGACUUCAAAUAUUAAUAAAACUAAAUGCAAAUGA